UCGAGGUGACGAGGACGGAUGGCGAGCGUCGGUCGGCGAGUGUCGUUACCUGUUCACGACGAGUUGCGCAAGUCUGCCUCUCGGUUCCAGUCGGCACAGCACGGCGGUGGAUGACGGCGUGUCGCGGUGGCCAGAUCUCGUGGAUCCUCCGCAGAUCUAGUCUUCUGCUUUCCAGAUCUGAGGGCAAGGGAUGGCAGCGGCGCACAGCGUCGGAGGGUGACAACGGCACAGCGGCUGACUGGAGUUUCGGCGUGGACGGUCGACGGCGUCAAGAAGGACUGCAACGACGGUGGGGUGUUGAAAGCAGUGGCGAUCCGGUGCAGUGACGGCGUCGUGGUGGUCGGGAGCUUUCGG
rnacentral:lncRNA from 1 species